UGACAAUCGGAAUGGGAACACUGUAAAAAGGUUAUCGAUUAACAAUUGGAGGGCAAGUCUGGUGCCAGCAGCCGCGGUAAUUCCAGCUCCAAUAAGGAAAACUAAAAGUUGCUGUGUUUAAAAAGCUCGUAGUUGAAUUUCGGGUAUUUGUUGCUAGCUGGUCUAACUGGCCAUGUUGGUUAACAGAUCCUCAUUUGCUGGACGGCUGGCGAUGAUCUUUAUCGAUUGUCGUCAGUUGCCAGAACGUUUACUUUGAGAAAAUUAGAGUGCUAAAAGCAGGCUCACGCCUAUAUAUAUUGCAUGGAAUAAUGAAAUAAGAUCUCGAUUUUAUUUCGUUGGUUUUAGAAAUUGAGAUAAUGAUUAAUAGGAUCAGAGGGGGGCGUACGUACUGUGGUGUGAGAGGUGAAAUUCUUGGAUCGCCACAGGACGAACAGCAGCG
rnacentral:rRNA from 1 species